GACUGACUACAUAUUGAGUCAAAGCGUUCUGAGCAACAAGCCACAUGGCUCAUGAACUCAGUUAUUUAAAAAAAAAAAAAAAAAAAAAACUUUGCUGCUAUCCUGGAUGAUGGGGUGACUAGUUCGGGUUUUUAAGAUGGCAAAAACCUAGUAAAAAGUAAUCUGACCUAUCUGACAACGAUCGAUGAGACUGACGUAAAACCAACACCAAGAUGGCAAUCAUGUGUGGUUAUGGGAGAACUGUUGGACAGAACUAUCACAAGAUCUGAAGGACAACUGCCCCAGGUGCGUGAUCGAUCAUCCGAGUCAACUCCAACACUCAUGUUUGUUCAAUCCUGACAAGUCUGCAUCUAAACACCUACAGAUUGCUAGAAAAACUGUUUAAACCAUGGUUCAAAUACAAGAGGUCUGAAACUGUGUCGUAUCAAACACACUCCAUCCCUGGAAAAAAUUCAAGGUAUUGCUGAAGCCAUCAUGUGUGAAUGGCGAGAUGAGCCUUGCAUCAAAACCGUGCUGAACCAGGUCAAAGGGAAAACCAAAGACCUUUUCAACAAACAGGUGUAUGAAAACAUUGUGGACUACUGAACCUUUCACUCCUCUCUGGAACCCAUUGAACAGCUGCAUACAUGGGGAAACUUCAAAACAUGCCAUGUCUAUUCUGACUGCAAGAAAAGUCUGAAGCCAAACGAACAAAAAUGCUGAUGACAUUUUGAGGAUUUGCUGUAGGACAUGUGAUUCGCUCAUGCCCGGAGAGAGCAGGUGAGAGCCGGCCAGCUGCUCACGCAGAGGAUCCGCCGCCCGUUAAAGCCGAAAGCGGAGGCUCGGUACCGGACGGACCGCAGGGAAGCAUGCAGGCCUCGCAGGAGGAAACCCGAGACAAUAGCUAUCUUCGAGGGUGAACAAAACGAACAAGAUGGUGUAACGGAGGAAGUGUUGCCUAAUGAGGUAGAUGUUUUAAUGGAUGCUGAUCUUUCCAAAUUAUCCACCAAGAGGAAAAACCCAGAAAAUAAAUCACACUGAACAAAUUUCAAAAGUGUCAAAGACUAAUCCAAUGGGCUGUUCAUCUCAGUCAGAGGACUGUUUUAUAAACACAGAGGGUGAAAGUGAUGUAAGUGGAGACUCACAGAUGGACAGGGUGCUUACUCUUUCACUGAAAUUCAGUUGUUUUUAAACAGGACAAAAGGCAUGAGAUCAGUUAAAGUUGAGUUUUUCCCAGAUUUAAAAUUGUUCCUUGACUCUAUUAAACUGUUUAUGAAAAACACGGAAAGCACCGACCAGCCAACUUUUGCCGAACAAGGUUAUCGUCUUAAAAAAAACUGACAAACGUUAGCGCGCAAAUAGCGAAAGAUGGUUAAGUGUCUCUCACAUUUUGCUCUUCCCUAUUUGGUCAACCUCAC
ensembl:lncRNA